rnacentral:rRNA from 1 species
UACGUAGGGCGCAAGCGUUGUCCGGAAUUAUUGGGCGUAAAGCGUGCGUAGGCGGCUGCGCAAGUCGGGUGUGAAACCCCGGGGCUCAACCCCGGAACUGCAUCCGAUACUGCGUGGCUAGAGGUAGGUAGGGGAGAUCGGAAUUCCUGGUGUAGCGGUGAAAUGCGCAGAUAUCAGGAGGAACACCGGUGGCGAAGGCGGAUCUCUGGGCCUUACCUGACGCUCAGGCACGAAAGCUAGGGGAGCGAACAGG